rnacentral:rRNA from 1 species
UACGGGGGGGCAAGCGUUGUUCGGAAUUACUGGGCGUAAAGGGCUCGUAGGUGGCCAACUAAGUCAGACGUGAAAUCCCUCGGCUUAACCGGGGAACUGCGUCUGAUACUGGAUGGCUUGAGAUUGGGAGAGGGAUGCGGAAUUCCAGGUGUAGCGGUGAAAUGCGUAGAUAUCUGGAGGAACACCGGUGGCGAAGGCGGGUCUCUGGGCCGAUACUGACGCUGAGGAGCGAAAGCGUGGGGAGCGAACAGG